rnacentral:rRNA from 1 species
GACGAACGCUGGCGGCGUGCUUAACACAUGCAAGUCGAACGAAGUGGCGAACGGGUGAGUAACGCGUAAUCAACCUGCCCUUCAGAGGGGGACAACAGUUGGAAACGACUGCUAUUACCGCAUACUGAAGGAGGGGAUUGCGUCGGAUUUGCUCGUUGGAGGGGGAACGGCCCACCAAGGCGAUGAUCUGUAGCCGGUCUGAGAGGAUGAACGGCCACAUUGGGACUGAGACACGGCCCAGACUCCUACGGGAGGCAGCAGUGGGGAAUCUUCCGCAAUGGACGGAAGUCUGACGGAGCAACGCCGCGUGAGUGAUGACGGCCUUCGGGUUGUAAAGCUCUUUUAAUCGGGACGCGGUACCGGAAUAGAAAGCCACGGCUAACUACGUGCCAGCAGCCGCGGUAAUUC